GACGAACGCUGGCGGCGUGCUUAACGCAUGCAAGUCGAACGGAAAGGCCCUGCUUUUGUGGGGUGCUCGAGUGGCGAACGGGUGAGUAACACGUGAGUAACCUGCCCUUGACUUUGGGAUAACUUCAGGAAACUGGGGCUAAUACCGGAUAGGAGCUCCUGCUGCAUGGUGGGGGUUGGAAAGUUUCGGCGGUUGGGGAUGGACUCGCGGCUUAUCAGCUUGUUGGUGGGGUAGUGGCUUACCAAGGCUUUGACGGGUAGCCGGCCUGAGAGGGUGACCGGCCACAUUGGGACUGAGAUACGGCCCAGACUCCUACGGGAGGCAGCAGUGGGAAAUAUUGCACAAUGGGCGGAAGCCUGAUGCAGCAACGCCGCGUGCGGGAUGACGGCCUUCGGGUUGUAAACCGCUUUCGCCUGUGACGAAGCGUGAGUGACGGUAAUGGGUAAAGAAGCACCGGCUAACUACGUG
rnacentral:rRNA from 1 species